rnacentral:rRNA from 2 species
UAUACUGCAAGUCGACGAACUCUGGUAUUGAUUGGUACUUGUAUCAUGAUUUACAUUUGAGUGAGUGGCGAACUGGUGAGUAACACGUGGGAAACUUGCCCAGAAGCGGGGGAUAACACCUGGAAACAGAUGCUAAUACCGCAUAACAACUUGGACCGCAUGGUCCGAGUUUGAAAGAUGGUUUCGGCUAUCACUUCUGGAUAGUCCCGCGGCGCAUUAGCUAGAUGGUGAGGUAACGGCUCACCAUGGCAAUGAUGCGUAGCCGACCUGAGAGGGUAAUCGGCCACAUUGGGACUGAGACACGGCCCAAACUCCUACGGGAGGCAGCAGUAGGGAAUCUUCCACAAUGGACGAAAGUCUGAUGGAGCAACGCCGCGUGAGUGAAGAAGGGUUUCGGCUCGUAAAACUCUGUUGUUAAAGAAGAACAUAUCUGAGAGUAACUGUUCAGGUAUUGACGGUAUUUAACCAGAAAGCCACGGCUAACUACGUGCCAGCAGCCGCGGUAAUACGUAGGUGGCAAGCGUUGUCCGGAUUUAUUGGGCGUAAAGCGAGCGCAGGCGGUUUUUUAAGUCUGAUGUGAAAGCCUUCGGCUCAACCGAAGAAGUGCAUCGGAAACUGGGAAACUUGAGUGCAGAAGAGGACAGUGGAACUCCAUGUGUAGCGGUGAAAUGCGUAGAUAUAUGGAAGAACACCAGUGGCGAAGGCGGCUGUCUGGUCUGUAACUGACGCUGAGGCUCGAAAGUAUGGGUAGCAAACAGGAUUAGAUACCCUGGUAGUCCAUACCGUAAACGAUGAAUGCUAAGUGUUGGAGGGUUUCCGCCCUUCAGUGCUGCAGCUAACGCAUUAAGCAUUCCGCCUGGGGAGUACGACCGCAAGGUUGAAACUCAAAGGAAUUGACGGGGGCCCGCACAAGCGGUGGAGCAUGUGGUUUAAUUCGAAGCUACGCGAAGAACCUUACCAGGUCUUGACAUACUAUGCAAAUCUAGAGAU